UGAGAGAGAGAGAGUGCGCGCGCCGCGGACUCCCACUCAGUGAUGGAGAGAACGUGAAGGUGGAUUUUGGCAUGUGGAGGAGCAGGUAGAAGAUGCAGAACAGCUGAGUGAACCAGGUGAUGAGGUGGGCGUGGCUGACUGAGGAUGAAUGAUGGAGUGAAGUGGCUGCACUGGAAUCUUCCCCACACGUGUAAAGGACUCCAGGCGACCACCAGCUGGAAUUUGUCCACGGCACCUGGCGUUCUUUUGAUUCCCCGUAGAAAUGAGUAAGUGACCUGACGUUACUUCAUUUCACUUCAAUAAUUAUGUCGGGAAAUUGAAAGCAACUUUUUCCACUGAGACAGGAGACGCAGAGUUUUCCAGAUGUCUCUCAGUGACCUUCACAGGGGUUAAAGGUCCACAGAGAUAAUAGAUUAAGAUUUCCAGAUGUGUUUAAUCACUUUGAAAUAUAAAUCAUUUGGUGUCCGUGGCCUGAGAUGAGACCGUUUAUAUGUGCUUUACACACGGUUCAUGUUUUAUGGGAAAGUCAAAAUACAUUGUAACUAAAAUAAUCUGACGUGAAAGAGUAAAACGAGAUGGUAAAAACAUUUAAACAUUUUAUUACACGCUCAUAUUAAACUGACAUUAAAUGUAAUGUGAUAAACUGUAGUAGAGUGAGCACAAAGACUGUGUCGCAGCUCCACAUAUGUUUGGUUUCUACAUCAACAUGUUGCUGAGGUGAAGUUUCAGUCAUUUUUGCUGUAAAGCUGUGAGACUCUAGCUUAAGCCAGCUGGCAAACACACUGGAAUAAACCGAAGCUUUUCUCUGUAUAAUUGUUCAGGAGUGUUUUAAUGAGAGCGAGAGCUUCAGCACACAUGAGAGAGAACACAGAGCUGUUGCAUUUCCCGUUCUUCCUCAGAGUGACGCUCCACCACUGUUGGGAUUCUUUGCUUAUUGAGGAAGUGAAUCCACUGCAGGAAAAAGAAGAAAACUCCAACCUGGAAACUGUGACACUGAGCAGGAAAAUGACAAACACUAAUGAGGCUGCAGCUAAUUUAUGUCAAAUUCAGAUCCUGAACUAUCAGGGGGCACACGGUAAACUAGUGGUUAACACUGUUGGCUCACAGCAAGAGGGUCACCAGUUCAAAUCCCACUUUACUGGAUGGAGUUUUCAUGUUCAUGUUCAUGUUCUUGUGGGUUUUCUUUGGGGACUUCAGGAAACAUGCAGUGAACGGUUGUUCAUCUCUGUGUCUCCUGUGUGUGAGACCCUCAGGUGAGUGAGUGAGUGAGUCAGUGAAUCAUCAGGUGUUAAGGUGUGAAUAUGUUAAUUCCAGUGCAAAGAGUUUGUGGUGUGAAAACACACUCUUCUCUCUCUGUAGUGAGACACGUUUAAAAAUAGAAAAACUGUCACAAACAAGAUUCAUUGGACUUUUUUAAAGCAGCAACAGUCACAUUUUGUACUUCCUUUGUUUGGUCUCAUCAUGAAGACGUCAUAUGUGACAAUGCUUCUAUCUUCUCUUGCUGUUAUAGAGUGUAAUCAGCUGUAAUAACAAGUUUAAGACGAUCUCCCCACAACAAACCAACCAUCACUGUGACUUCUGAAGAGUCAAAAUCCUGCAGUUCUGCUUUAAAUUCAAGUUAUUUGGUUGUAACGAUGAUUAGAAUAAGAGUUCCUGCCUAUCCUGAUUAUCUACAUAUGUCCCUCAUCUGUGUCUCAUUAUCGCUUCCAUUUUUGCUUCUCUGAUUUGUCUUGUUUGCUUAUGUUGUAAACAGCUUUUCAGUUUUUUUGGCUGCAUUUUGCAGCUUUGACGUUUGGAUGGUGAAUAAAAGCUGCUACUCUGCACAGUUUGCCACAUAAUAAUAAUAAUAAUAAUUACAGCAUUAUACAGCAUAAUAUAUAAAUAAAAUGCAUCUCUUGGCUGAAUAUUUGAGAACAUAUUUAGCUUCACCAUUGUAACUCUGCUUGGUUUAUCAGGUUUGAUUUCCUGUUUAAAAUGUAUCAUGUAAUAUCAGCCACAGGGAAAGGAUUUCAUAAAGAC